GAGGUUGAAAAAAUGACCCUUGUAUAUAUUACCAAUAGAACAAGCAUACAUGAGUAGAUAAUUCAUCGUCAUGUUUAAAUGAUGAAGCCAAAAUUUGAAACGUUGAUAUGGCAACAGUUAGAAAAAGGUAUGUGUAUAAAUGGCAAGACAUCCAGCUCCCCUUGUUCUAUGAUACAUAGCUACGUGGACUACCGGCUUGAAGAGCCACAGCGUGCCCUAACGGCCCUAACCAAUGGUUUAUCUACUAGCCAAUGCAUUCUCUAUGCUGGUAUUACACAUUCAAGACCUUAUUUAGUCCAGUCAACGAAGGUUUAUAGAUGAAAAAGUUUGAAAGACAAUUUUUGACCCCCCCCCGCUCCCUUUAGGGUAGUAAGGAGGUAAACAUGUCAAAAGUCCCCACCCCAGUGCUAAGUUUUUUUUGCAUAGACUAGGUAUAACUCGAAAACUAUGUGUAUUGCAGACAUUAGCAUUAUAUACAAAUUAAAAGCCUCCUAAUUCCUGUCUCAAUUAUUGAUAUAUUGUUGAAAAACUGAAGAUCUCACACUCAACAAUAAAACUCCUGCAACAGUCGUAGGGAAAUGCAUAAAAUAGUGAAAUUAUAGGCCUACAUCAAAUUGAAGAGAAUUUAAUGCUCGGAUAUCUCAAACACUAUUGAGAUUUUGAAAAGAGAUAUGGAAUUAUGAGAGAUACGGAAAAAGUUGUCAGAUGAACGUUGUCGGAAAUUUUGUAAGCUUUAACUUUGUAUUGUAAUAGUCAUGUCCGAAGACGCAUAGUUUUCGAGAAAUAUGCGAGAAACAAAAAAUGUGAUACCUUUGAACCACCCCCACCUCCUUACUACCCUAAACAAAAACUGUCUUCCAAAAAUUUCCCUCUAUACCUUUUUGAGCAUUCAUUGCUUGGACUAUACUUAGUUCCUACAGUUGGUAAUUAAUUAUAUAUUUCAUGGAUAUCUGAUGACUUGCAAGAACUAAAAUCACAGAACUUGUAUCAUACAGUUACAAAAGUUGGGACUAUAUCGCCUAUAUUAUAUAGUUCUAUAAAUUCAAUAGAACUUAACAUUAGUGCUAAGAGUACUGAGAAUGACACAUUUUUAUUUAUGUGUGUUAUGAUUUCUAUAUCAAAUGGUAGUUGUUUCUACAACCGUAAUGAUGGAAUUGUAUCAUAAUAAAAUUAUUUUCCAUACAUAAAAAAUACAUCAUAGUUUAAUUGAAAGCAUAAAAAUGUGCAAUUUUCAGCUCUAGCACAAUGUUCAGGCCAGGCUCGUUGAUUGAUACCAAUUGGUUUAAGCAGUAAAAAUAAAAAUAAUUUAGACUUGUACGGUGAUUAACUAACAUUUUACAAAAUAUGUUUGAAACUAAUGAGUAGUCUCAAUGCAUUCAGCAGCAUUUUAAAAUUAGGCUACCAACAUGUAAAACAAUCCUAGUUGUUAAUUAGUCGAUUCAAGAGGGUAAUUUAAGACUUGCGAUUCUAAAUUCAAGACUUCAUUAUUAACUUAACUGCUGCAGUUCAAAUGUAACGCAGUUGUUACUAAAAAUAGAAAAUGUCUGAUUCUAUUUCGAUGUAAUUAGAUGUUGAUAAUGAACUAGGUCAGAGAGAUUUAGAACUUCAUUGCAAUAGAUCUGAACUGUUUCUGUACAUUGAAACAGUAUAAGCUACUUUGCAGAGUACACAGUAGGCUAUUGACGCCAAUCCAUGAAAUCGCGCAACAAAUGUUUUUAUUCAUCAUUUGUUGAGACUAUUAUUAACAGUAAUUAUUAUUAAUUGUUGCAUUUAGGCUGCUUCAAACAUACUAUUCAACUAAUCUUAAAUGAGAAAAAGAAGUUCCACAAAUAAGGAAUAGACCUAAAUAUUUUCAUUGUUAUGAUUUAGUAAAGCAAUAAUAUAUUCAUGAAAUCAGACAGUCUCUUCACAAAUUCUAUCUUUGCAAAAUUUGGAUAUUAAAUCUUUCAAGUGGAAUUGCUUCUCACGAAUUGUUCUUUAACUGCGUCAACACUAUGAUAUUCAUUCAUAGUGAAAUUGAUAAACAAUUUCACUUCAAAGAUAAUAUACACAAUUUUUGAAUAGACUGAUCAACAUAAAGAUACUUUUUUAUUUCAAAAGUUACAACAAUAAAACGUCAGGUAUAAUAGAAUUUGAUCUCCCAAGUUAGCUGCUAUAUAAACUUGGUUAUAGGAUAACAACGCAGAUCCUCCAGUCAACAAUAAAGAUCUCCUGAAACGUAUCGGCAUCCUGUUGAAGAUCUUUAGUGCAGCUGUGGGGUAGCAGCUGUGGGACCUCGAGUCAUGAUCAGAGAACGAUCUGCAACGGUGCGGAGCUAGAAAAGGAGUGCCCUAUCUGCUUUGUUGAAUGAUAGCAACACAAAUCGUAAUCAAAUACUGCCAUCAUGAAGUGGACCUUACAAUAGCAUCUCGUAAAAUAACGGAGUUCUACCUACCGGAAUUUAUACGCAUGCGUGUUUAUUCUUCAGCUCUUCAGGUGAGUGUUAUCCGAACUACAAUGACAAAAUUGUUGACCGAAUGAAUGAGGUUUAACAUUCAA
rnacentral:lncRNA from 1 species